rnacentral:rRNA from 2 species
GGACAGAUAAGGAGCUUGCUCCUUUGACGUUAGCGGCGGACGGGUGAGUAACACGUGGGCAACCUGCCCCUUAGACUGGGAUAACUCCGGGAAACCGGAGCUAAUACCGGAUAAUCCCUUUCUCCACCUGGAGAGAGGGUGAAAGAUGGCUUCGGCUAUCACUAAGGGAUGGGCCCGCGGCGCAUUAGCUAGUUGGUAAGGUAACGGCUUACCAAGGCAACGAUGCGUAGCCGACCUGAGAGGGUGAUCGGCCACACUGGGACUGAGACACGGCCCAGACUCCUACGGGAGGCAGCAGUAGGGAAUCUUCCGCAAUGGACGAAAGUCUGACGGAGCAACGCCGCGUGAGUGAGGAAGGCCUUCGGGUCGUAAAGCUCUGUUGUGAGGGAAGAAGCGGUACCGUUCGAAUAGGGCGGUACCUUGACGGUACCUCACCAGAAAGCCACGGCUAACUACGUGCCAGCAGCCGC